rnacentral:rRNA from 1 species
GGAUCCUUGUGCGGCGAGUGAAGCGGCAAAAGCUCAAAUUUGAAAUCUGGCGCCUUCGGUGUCCGAGUUGUAAUUUGAAGAUUGUAACCUUGGGGUUGGCUCUUGUCUAUGUUUCUUGGAACAGGACGUCACAGAGGGUGAGAAUCCCGUGCGAUGAGAUGCCCAAUUCUAUGUAAGGUGCUUUCGAAGAGUCGAGUUGUUUGGGAAUGCAGCUCUAAGUGGGUGGUAAAUUCCAUCUAAAGCUAAAUAUUGGCGAGAGACCGAUAGCGAACAAGUACAGUGAUGGAAAGAUGAAAAGAACUUUGAAAAGAGAGUGAAAAAGUACGUGAAAUUGUUGAAAGGGAAGGGUUUGAGAUCAGACUCGAUAUUUUGUGAGCCUUGCCUUCGUGGCGGGGUGACCCGCAGCUUAUCGGGCCAGCAUCGGUUUGGGCGGUAGGAUAAUGGCGUAGGAAUGUGACUUUACUUCGGUGAAGUGUUAUAGCCUGCGUUGAUGCUGCCUGCCUAGACCGAGGACUGCGAUUUUAUCAAGGAUGCUGGCAUAAUGAUCCCAAACCGCCCGUCUGAACACCGGGGACAAAA